UACAGAGGUCUCGAGCGUUAGGCGGAAUCACUGGGCUUAAAGCGCGUGUAGGCGGGUGGGAACGCCGGCCCCUGAUAGCCCCCGGCUCAACCGGGGAAGGGGUGCCGAAACGGCCCGCCUGGAGGGGCGUAGGGGGACCUGGAACUUCCGGUGGAGCGGUGAAAUGCGUUGAGAUCGGAAGGAACGCCCGUGGCGAAAGCGAGGUCCUGGACGUCAUCUGACGCUGAGACGCGAAAGCUAGGGGAGCGAACGGG
rnacentral:rRNA from 1 species